GACCUCGUAGCUCAGCAGGAUAGAGCAUCAGAUUCCUAAUCUGAGGGUCGGAGGUUCGAAUCCUCUCGGGGUCGCCA
rnacentral:tRNA from 1 species